rnacentral:misc_RNA from 1 species
CAAACAAAAAGAAUCUAUCUCAGAUUGAAUAUGAAAAACCAUCGUCAGGUAAUGUGAUGGUUGUAUUGCUGCUGCUGCUGCUGCUGCUGCUGCUGCUGCUGCUAUAUUUCCCUGAUCAGUUUUUGCUAUUAUAAUGUUGUACGGGGCAACAACAAUUCAAAUAGCAACUAUUAAUUUCUACUACUACAACAAAGAAAGAAAAUUUACAUGUAUGUAGUAGAGAAAAGAAUGUGGUGCGCAUUAUUAAUUU